rnacentral:rRNA from 1 species
UACGUAGGCAGCAAGCGUUGUUCGGAGUUACUGGGCGUAAAGGGUGUGUAGGCGGUUGUUUAAGUUUGGUGUGAAAUCUCCCGGCUCAACUGGGAGGGUGCGCCGAAUACUGAAUGACUAGAGUGCGGGAGAGGAAAGUGGAAUUCCUGGUGUAGAGGUGAAAUUCGUAGAUAUUCGCAAGAACACCAGUGGCGAAGGCGGCUCACUGGCCCGAUACCUGACGCUGAGGCACGAAAGCGUGGGGAGCAAACAGGG